CUUGACGACCAUAGAGCAUUGGAACCACCUGAUCCCAUCCCGAACUCAGCAGUGAAACGAUGCAUCGCCGAUGGUAGUGUGGGGGUUCCCCAUGUGAGAGUAGGUCAUCGUCAAGA
rnacentral:rRNA from 3 species